rnacentral:rRNA from 1 species
AUUGAACGCUGGCGGCAUGCCUUACACAUGCAAGUCGAACGGCAGCACGGGAGCAAUCCUGGUGGCGAGUGGCGAACGGGUGAGUAAUACAUCGGAACGUGCCCAAUCGUGGGGGAUAACGCAGCGAAAGCUGUGCUAAUACCGCAUACGAUCUACGGAUGAAAGCAGGGGAUCGCAAGACCUUGCGCGAAUGGAGCGGCCGAUGGCAGAUUAGGUAGUUGGUGAGGUAAAGGCUCACCAAGCCGUCGAUCUGUAGCUGGUCUGAGAGGACGACCAGCCACACUGGGACUGAGACACGGCCCAGACUCCUACGGGAGGCAGCAGUGGGGAAUUUUGGACAAUGGGCGAAAGCCUGAUCCAGCCAUGCCGCGUGCAGGAUGAAGGCCUUCGGGUUGUAAACUGCUUUUGUACGGAACGAAACGGCCUUUUCUAAUAAAGAGGGCUAAUGACGGUACCGUAAGAAUAAGCACCGGCUAACUACGUGCCAGCAGCCGCGGUAAUACGUAGGGUGCAAGCGUUAAUCGGAAUUACUGGGCGUAAAGCGUGCGCAGGCGGUUAUGUAAGACAGUUGUGAAAUCCCCGGGCUCAACCUGGGAACUGCAUCUGUGACUGCAUAGCUAGAGUACGGUAGAGGGGGAUGGAAUUCCGCGUGUAGCAGUGAGAUGCGUAGAUAUGCGGAGGAACACCGAUGGCGAAGGCAAUCCCCUGGACCUGUACUGACGCUCAUGCACGAAAGCGUGGGGAGCAAACAGG